rnacentral:rRNA from 1 species
GACGGAGGAUGCAAGUGUUAUCCGGAAUCACUGGGCGUAAAGCGUCUGUAGGAGGUUUAAUAAGUCAACUGUUAAAUCUUGAGGCUCAACCUCAAAAUCGCAGUCGAAACUAUUAGACUAGAGGAUAGUAGGGGUAAAGGGAAUUUCCAGUGGAGCGGUGAAAUGCGUAGAGAUUGGAAAGAACGCCGAUGGCGAAGGCACUGUACUGGGCUAUUACUAACACUGAGAGACGAAAGCUAGGGUAGCAAAUGGG